rnacentral:rRNA from 1 species
UUAAGCGACUAAGCGUACACGGUGGAUGCCCUGGCAGUCAGAGGCGAUGAAGGACGUGCUAAUCUGCGAUAAGCGUCGGUAAGGUGAUAUGAACCGUUAUAACCGGCGAUUUCCGAAUGGGGAAACCCAGUGUGAUUCGUCACACUAUCAUUAACUGAAUCCAUAGGUUAAUGAGGCGAACCGGGGGAACUGAAACAUCUAAGUACCCCGAGGAAAAGAAAUCAACCGAGAUUCCCCCAGUAGCGGCGAGCGAACGGGGAGGAGCCCAGAGCCUGAAUCAGUGUGUGUGUUAGUGGAAGCGUCUGGAAAGGCGCGCGAUACAGGGUGACAGCCCCGUACACAAAAAUGCACAUAUUGUGAGCUCGAUGAGUAGGGCGGGACACGUGGUAUCCUGUCUGAAUAUGGGGGGACCAUCCUCCAAGGCUAAAUACUCCUGACUGACCGAUAGUGAACCAGUACCGUGAGGGAAAGGCGAAAAGAACCCCGGCGAGGGGAGUGAAAAAGAACCUGAAACCGUGUACGUACAAGCAGUGGGAGCACGCUUCGGCGUGUGACUGCGUACCUUUUGUAUAAUGGGUCAGCGACUUAUAUUCUGUAGCAAGGUUAACCGAAUAGGGGAGCCGAAGGGAAACCGAGUCUUAACUGGGCGUUAAGUUGCAGGGUAUAGACCCGAAACCCGGUGAUCUAGCCAUGGGCAGGUUGAAGGUUGGGUAACACUAACUGGAGGACCGAACCGACUAAUGUUGAAAAAUUAGCGGAUGACUUGUGGCUGGGGGUGAAAGGCCAAUCAAACCGGGAGAUAGCUGGUUCUCCCCGAAAGCUAUUUAGGUAGCGCCUCGUGAAUUCAUCUCCGGGGGUAGAGCACUGUUUCGGCAAGGGGGUCAUCCCGACUUACCAACCCGAUGCAAACUGCGAAUACCGGAGAAUGUUAUCACGGGAGACACACGGCGGGUGCUAACGUCCGUCGUGAAGAGGGAAACAACCCAGACCGCCAGCUAAGGUCCCAAAGUCAUGGUUAAGUGGGAAACGAUGUGGGAAGGCCCAGACAGCCAGGAUGUUGGCUUAGAAGCAGCCAUCAUUUAAAGAAAGCGUAAUAGCUCACUGGUCGAGUCGGCCUGCGCGGAAGAUGUAACGGGGCUAAACCAUGCACCGAAGCUGCGGCAGCGACGCUGAUGCGUUGUUGGGUAGGGGAGCGUUCUGUAAGCCUGCGAAGGUGUGCUGUGAGGCAUGCUGGAGGUAUCAGAAGUGCGAAUGCUGACAUAAGUAACGAUAAAGCGGGUGAAAAGCCCGCUCGCCGGAAGACCAAGGGUUCCUGUCCAACGUUAAUCGGGGCAGGGUGAGUCGACCCCUAAGGCGAGGCCGAAAGGCGUAGUCGAUGGGAAACAGGUUAAUAUUCCUGUACUUGGUGUUACUGCGAAGGGGGGACGGAGAAGGCUAUGUUGGCCGGGCGACGGUUGUCCCGGUUUAAGCGUGUAGGCUGGUUUUCCAGGCAAAUCCGGAAAAUCAAGGCUGAGGCGUGAUGACGAGGCACUACGGUGCUGAAGCAACAAAUGCCCUGCUUCCAGGAAAAGCCUCUAAGCAUCAGGUAACAUCAAAUCGUACCCCAAACCGACACAGGUGGUCAGGUAGAGAAUACCAAGGCGCUUGAGAGAACUCGGGUGAAGGAACUAGGCAAAAUGGUGCCGUAACUUCGGGAGAAGGCACGCUGAUAUGUAGGUGAAGUCCCUCGCGGAUGGAGCUGAAAUCAGUCGAAGAUACCAGCUGGCUGCAACUGUUUAUUAAAAACACAGCACUGUGCAAACACGAAAGUGGACGUAUACGGUGUGACGCCUGCCCGGUGCCGGAAGGUUAAUUGAUGGGGUCAGCGCAAGCGAAGCUCUUGAUCGAAGCCCCGGUAAACGGCGGCCGUAACUAUAACGGUCCUAAGGUAGCGAAAUUCCUUGUCGGGUAAGUUCCGACCUGCACGAAUGGCGUAAUGAUGGCCAGGCUGUCUCCACCCGAGACUCAGUGAAAUUGAACUCGCUGUGAAGAUGCAGUGUACCCGCGGCAAGACGGAAAGACCCCGUGAACCUUUACUAUAGCUUGACACUGAACAUUGAGCCUUGAUGUGUAGGAUAGGUGGGAGGCUUUGAAGUGUGGACGCCAGUCUGCAUGGAGCCGACCUUGAAAUACCACCCUUUAAUGUUUGAUGUUCUAACGUUGACCCGUGAUCCGGGUUGCGGACAGUGUCUGGUGGGUAGUUUGACUGGGGCGGUCUCCUCCUAAAGAGUAACGGAGGAGCACGAAGGUUGGCUAAUCCUGGUCGGACAUCAGGAGGUUAGUGCAAUGGCAUAAGCCAGCUUGACUGCGAGCGUGACGGCGCGAGCAGGUGCGAAAGCAGGUCAUAGUGAUCCGGUGGUUCUGAAUGGAAGGGCCAUCGCUCAACGGAUAAAAGGUACUCCGGGGAUAACAGGCUGAUACCGCCCAAGAGUUCAUAUCGACGGCGGUGUUUGGCACCUCGAUGUCGGCUCAUCACAUCCUGGGGCUGAAGUAGGUCCCAAGGGUAUGGCUGUUCGCCAUUUAAAGUGGUACGCGAGCUGGGUUUAGAACGUCGUGAGACAGUUCGGUCCCUAUCUGCCGUGGGCGCUGGAGAACUGAGGGGGGCUGCUCCUAGUACGAGAGGACCGGAGUGGACGCAUCACUGGUGUUCGGGUUGUCAUGCCAAUGGCACUGCCCGGUAGCUAAAUGCGGAAGAGAUAAGUGCUGAAAGCAUCUAAGCACGAAACUUGCCCCGAGAUGAGUUCUCCCUGACCCUUUAAGGGUCCUGAAGGAACGUUGAAGACGACGACGUUGAUAGGCCGGGUGUGUAAGCGCAGCGAUGCGUUGAGCUAACCGGUACUAAUGAACCGUGAGGCUUAACCUU